rnacentral:rRNA from 1 species
UAGGGAAUCUUCCGCAAUGGACGCAAGUCUGACGGAGCAACGCCGCGUGAGUGAAGAAGGAUUUCGGUUCGUAAAACUCUGUUGUUAGAGAAGAACAGCGCAUAGAGUAACUGUUAUGCGUGUGACGGUAUCUAACCAGAAAGCCACGGCUAACUACGUGCCAGCAGCCGCGGUAAUACGUAGGUGGCAAGCGUUGUCCGGAUUUAUUGGGCGUAAAGCGAGCGCAGGCGGUCAAUUAAGUCUGAUGUGAAAGCCCCCGGCUCAACCGGGGAGGGUCAUUGGAAACUGGUUGACUUGAGUGCAGAAGAGGAGAGUGGAAUUCCAGGUGUAACGGUGAAAGGCGUAGAUAUAUGGAGGAACACCAGUGGCGAAGGCGACUCUCUGGUCUGUAACUGACGCUGAGGCUCGAAAGCGUGGGUAGCAAACAGG